rnacentral:rRNA from 1 species
CAGUCGCCGCGGGAAUACGGAGGGAGCCAGCGUUGUUCGGAAUUACUGGGCGUAAAGCGCGCGUAGGCGGUUACUCAAGUCAGAGGUGAAAGCCCGGGGCUCAACCCCGGAACUGCCUUUGAAACUAGGUGACUAGAAUCUUGGAGAGGUCAGUGGAAUUCCGAGUGUAGAGGUGAAAUUCGUAGAUAUUCGGAAGAACACCAGUGGCGAAGGCGACUGACUGGACAAGUAUUGACGCUGAGGUGCGAAAGCGUGGGGAGCAAACAGGAUUAGAUACCCCGGUAGUCCCUGUCUCUUAUAC